GAGAAGCCACUUUUACGCUCAUUCAGGAUGUUGCCUGAAUUCAGUUUCUCGGAGGGGUGGUAGGACUGAGGCCCAUUUCCUUGCUGGCUGCUGGCUGACAGCUCAGUUUUCUCCGAGAGGCCUCUCUGGGGUCCUUGCAGCUGAUUUUUGGACAUUUUGAAGCAGAUUAUCCCUGGGAAUCCUUGUUUGGCUGACCCCAUGCGGACGUGAAUUCCUUUUUGUCAGCCUCUCUUAAGUCUCCCUGUGGUUACUGAGGUGAAACGUGACAACCGGAGAGCCCUUUUGUGGCUGAUGUACACAACUGAGCCAAAGCAGAGGUGCACGUGCUCCGGAAUUACCCCCUGGACUCCAUCAGGGAGCGCUCCGCCUGAUGGCUCAGUGCUUCAGAACUGAGAGUUGAGUGAGUGCCGGUGAAUCUGUGCUGAGAUCGCCUUGGAUCUAUUCUGAUCCAAUUGCUGGGAACAUUUAACAAAAAUGCGUGAUUCCUGAGGAAGGAGAGUCCCCUGGGUACAGCUGGAGUGUGGACAGAUGGAUGCUCCCCAAUUACUGUCUUAACGUUGGUUUCAGGAGAGGUGCCUGUCACCCUGCAGCCCCAGAGUGGGUUAAAUUGUGUCUCCGCAGAAGAUGCUUUGGGGGCUGGACUCAAGUUGAGGAGGUGAGGACUCCGGGGAGCAGGUGUUGGCUGGGUCCUCACCGCCUGUCCUGGCCUCCCGCUCUGGACCCUGCAGGCCCCGUAUCAUGGUCCGCCAGGUGGGCUGCCCUCGUCUGCAAAGUGUGCAAUACCAGCCACCAGGAGUGGGCAGAAACACGGAACUUCUGUCAAAACUCACCUUCAAUCUGAAGAAAUCACAUUGUUUGUUGGUUCGUCACGUUUGAUGAAGAUGAAGAUGACCAUACAAACAUCAUGUACGUUUCCGGCUUCCCAGAUGGCGCUAGUGGUAAAGAAUCCACCUGCAAUGCAGGAGACAAAAGAGAUGUAGAUUCAAUCCCUGGCUCAGGAAGAUCCCCUGGAGGAGGAAAUGGCAACCCCUCCAGUAUUCUUGCCUGGAGAAUCCCGUGGACAGAGGAGCCCGAAGGGCCACAGUCCAUGGGGUCACAGAGAGUCAGACACGACUGAGUGACCAAGCACAUGUACGUUUCAUUAGUUGGGGGUCCUGGUAGACAGAGGCAGACUCAGCGUCGGGGUGACCUGACUGGGGAGUCUUGAGCAGAGGCCAUGCUGGGUGAUUUGUCCCCUCAGGAGCUGUGACCAUGGGCCCACCCUCUGGGUCCUGUAGGGACUGGACACUGGGAUCCCUGGCCGACUCUGGGGAGAGGGAGGAGCUGGGGGCCAGUAGUUAUUCCUCGGGCCCCUUCCCUUCCUUCUCUGAGGUUACAUCGGUGGCUUAUCCCCAACUUGAGGGCCCUGAUUCUCUCCAGGCUGCCUCUUGUGCUGGACUCUGCCCUCUGGGCUCAGGGUCUCCUUCCCCUCUUCCCUUUGGGCCUAGAGGUGGCGACCACGUCUCAGCAGCCAGCCCCGAGUCACGGUCAUGUCCCAGGGGCUCUUCUGCACUCUGCCCCCUCAUCCUUGUGGAUGUCACCUCUACUAAGUGAGAGUGAAAGUGAAGUCGCUCAGUCGUGUCUGACCCUUUGCGACCCCAUGGACUAUAGCCUACCAGGCUUCUCAGUCCAUGGGGUUUUCCAGGCAAGAGUACUGGAGUGGGUUGCCAUUUCCUUCUCCAGGGGAUCUUCCCGACCCAGGGAUUGAACCUGGGUCUCCCGCAUUGUAGGCAGACGCUUUCCCCUCUGAGCCACCAGGGAAGCCCUCCUGCCUCAUUGUGCUAAUUGUGUGAGCUGUAUGCUUCUUGUCAGGAUCCUGAGACAGAAGGACCCUCAAGAUCAUGUGGUCAGGGUGCUGAGGACACCCCAGGGCUGUACAGAGAGGAGCAGGUCAGGUGGAGAAUGCUCCAGCCCCUGGGACCCCUGGGGAGGGGCUGACCUUCCUCUCUCUCUCGUCUAGCAUCUUUCAGGCUCCCUGAGGGCCAAAUCCAGUGGGAGUCAGAAUGUGAGGGGCUGUUGAUAUUGGCCAUGCUGGACAGCAUUCUGGGUACAGAGCCUGGAGAGGGGUGGACACAGGUCUGGAGCACGCAGUAAGUGCACCCAGCAUAUUAUGCAUUCAUUUGGUCACUGGUGUAUAUAAUAAAGAAAUAGCCAUGCAUGUAUUAGGAUGCUC